UGAGCACAUGUUCAUAUUUUCAGAUGCCUCUCAAAAUACCAGAGUAGGAUCAUAUUCUCAAAGAUUUUUCAAGCUCAGAAAAUAACUGAACUUGGGAAAUUAUUUUAUUGUUUUGUUUCAUUUCCUGGAAAUUUUAAAGAAAUACAAGAGCAAAAGGGAAUAGUACAGGCUGGAAAACAUCAUGUUGCCGCCAUUUACUUCAAAAAAAAAAAAAAAGCUCCUGAGAGUCAAAUAAAGAAGUCAACACCUUCUCCCUCCCUCCCUUUCUGCCUCUCAUAGCACUGGUUUUUUGUUUUUCUAAGAAAGAUUAAUUCUCUGAUGGGGAACUUUCGGAGUUGUAUUGCUGGCAAGUCAAAUUAAGCCCUAGUCCCAGUAGCCAAAUCUCCAAUUCCUGAACCAAUUCCAGACCCUGAUCCAUCCCUUAGCACGGUUGAGCCAAUCCCAGAUGAACACAAAGUCCCUAGUACAAUUGGCAAUCUCAUAGAUGGUGAUAUAUCUUUUCUUGGUAGCAAUUUCUCUGGCACCAUCUGGCUCUCCAUAGCAAGCACCAAUCUUUCUGCUUGGUUUUCUCAUCCAAAACACUGUAAAGCUGGUGGGUUACUGUCGAGAAAAUUAGGAGUUCCUGAUUGUCUAUGAGUUCAUGUCCAAGGGCAGCUUAAAUUACCAUUUAUUUGGAACAUGCUUUUGUUUGGUCAGAGGGUUCUAAUCGCUUGCUUCCAUGGACAGCAAGGGUUAAGAUUGCAAUAGGAAUGGCUCAAGGCUUGUCUUGCAUGCAUACAAUGGAGAAACCAGCAGUUUUUAGAGAUUUCAAGUCCUCAAUUGUAUUACUUGACGAGUCAUGCUCCGAAGAUAUCAGACUUUGGCUUGGCAAAGUGGGAACACACAGCUGGUAAUUUUAGUAAAAGAGGACAUGUUGUGGGCACGACUGGUUAUGUUGCUCCUGAGUACGCUGACAACGGUCAACUCUAUGUAAAAAGUGAUGUGUAUAGUUUUGGAGUUGUCUUGGUAGAGAUGUUAACAGGCUUGCUGGCAAUUGAUAAAAGACGUCCACUUGGACUGCGAAACCUGGUAAGAUGGCUCAAACAAAAACUUCCAGAGAAAAACCAUUUGAAACAUGUUAUUGACCCCAGGCUUGAAGGAAGUAUCCCAUGAAACAAGCUUCAAAAAUAGCUUUACUGCUGUUCUAUGUCUUGAUGAAUAUAACUGCUAUCGGCCAUCAAUGAAACAGGUUGCAGAGACAUUGGAACGAAUUGAAGCUGGACUUAUCAAGCUGGAUUGUUAUAGGAAGAUAGCUAUACUUUCGUUUCGUUGUCUCGAUGAGAAUAUUGAAAGAUACUAGCUAUGGAGACAUUGUAAUGAAUUGAACCUGGACUUCAAUAAAUCAAGCUGGAUCGUUAUCAUCCACUUUAAAAUGUCACAUGGACUGAAGCACAUGGGAAAGUCUAAUUGGUGAUUUGAUUCUCAUUUACCAUGAAGUUUUCUAGUCUAAACACAAGGGGAUGCUGCAAUGAAUGAUGUCCUGGAGGCCUUAAUUCUUUUGCCAUUUUCGUAUAUAUGCUUAAGCCCUUUUCUUGCUGCUGUUGAAGAAGCUUCUGUCCAUGCUACGGUUCUCUUUUACCUCCAAAAUGUCAUUUUCCUGUACUGAUGCUACUUCUCUCCAGUUUAUAUCAGUCAAAUGGUUGUAUCUAUUUUCGUCUAUGUUAAUGAGGUUCUACUGCUUCUGAUGGUGUUAAAUUAUGCAGCUGCCCGUUUAGAUUCUGCUCUCUCUAUUUUUGCCAGUAUAUUUCAGAUUGUGACUUCCUGUUUGUGGCUCAGUGGAAUAGAUUCUGGCCCGC